rnacentral:rRNA from 1 species
AUGGACGGCCACACCCACCUAGCCGUGGAGUGGAAGGACCAGAGCCCAGGGGCAGACUGCAGCAUGCUGCCGAGCUUCCUCACCGACCCGUUCCCCGCGGACCCCCUGGUGGAGGACUGCGACGGCGGCAACGACGGCUCCGAGGGGGCCGGGUUCGAGAGGCACGGCCUGUCGGUGGCCGUGGGCUCGCCUCAGGAGGAAGGGAAGCCGGCGACGCCGCACUUCGGCCAGAGGUCCAGCUCCAGCAGCAGCCUCUCCGAGCGGAUGCAGGCCAGAGCUGGGUUCAGCGUCGCCAAGCUCAGCAUGCCUGGCAGCGAAUAUUCAGGAGCCCAGUCGCCUUACCUGACCAUCCCGCCCGGCCUCAGCCCGGCGUCGCUGCUGGAAUCGCCCGUGUUCCUCUCCAAUGCCAUGGGCCAGUCCUCGCCAACCACGGGGAAGUUACUCAUGCUUGGUGACACCAAUAACAACAAUAAUACUAGGCUUGAACCUCCCUCAAUUGAAGAUCGUCCCGGUGCAUUUUCUUUCAAGCCUUUGGACCUAAAAUCAUCACAGUACACUGCUGAAGGAAAGAAGGGAUCUCUACCCAACAGUCAGCACCCAUCAGCACCAAGCAGAGAUGUUCCUGUCAAGACAGAAACCAACAUUCAGACAACGACACGAGGCGCCAUUCCGCCAGGCCAUCUGAACCAAGCGCAGUUCAACAACGGGCAAGACCUGAUGAAGUGCAGCUACCAUGACUGCAAUAACAAGCGCAACCGUCUCGCAGCUGACAGGACCACGGCAGGUGGCGACAACAACGACGGCCCACCGGUAACGGCGGCGGACAGCGAGGCGGCGAAGGGAGACUACCCUGCUGCGGUGGCCACAGCAGCGCCGGCCGAGGACGGGUACAGCUGGAGGAAGUACGGGCAGAAGCAGGUGAAGCACAGCGAGUACCCGCGGAGCUACUACAAGUGCACGCACCCCAGCUGCCAGGUGAAGAAGAAGGUGGAGCGGUCGCACGAGGGCCACGUCACGGAGAUCAUCUACAAGGGCACGCACAACCACCCCAGGCCCGCCGCCCAGGGCCGCCGACCUGCCGGCGGCGCGCAGGUUCACCCGUUCAAUGACGCGCAGAUGGACGCGCCCGCGGACAACAACAACAACGGCUACGGCAAUGCUGGUGGCUCGCAGCCGAACGCGGAGGCGAGGUCGCUGUGGCACGCGGGCGUGGCUGUCCAGGACUGGCGCGGCGACGGGCUGGAGGCCACGUCGUCCCCCUCGGUGCCCGGCGAGCUCUGUGACUCGUCGGCUUCGAUGCAGGUCCAUGACGGCGCCGCCCGGUUCGAGUCCCCGGAGGGCGGCGUGGAUGUCACGUCUGCCGUGUCUGACGAGGUGGACGGGGAUGAUAGGGUGGCCCAUGGCAGCAUGUCCCAGGGGCAGGGCGCUGCCGACACCACCGAGGGCGAUGAACUGGAGUCCAAGAGAAGGAAGCUGGAGUCGUGCGCCAUUGACAUGAGCACUGCGUCCAGAGCUGUCCGCGAGCCUCGGGUCGUGAUCCAGACGACCAGCGAGGUGGACAUCCUGGACGACGGCUAUCGCUGGCGCAAGUACGGGCAGAAGGUCGUCAAGGGCAACCCGAAUCCAAGGAGCUACUACAAGUGCACGCACCCGGGGUGCUCGGUGCGGAAGCACGUGGAGCGCGCGUCGCACGACCUCAAGUCCGUGAUCACCACGUACGAGGGCAAGCACAACCACGAGGUCCCGGCCGCGAGGAACGGCGGCCACGGGAGCUCGGCGGCGUCGGGCGGCACGGGGGCGUCGCAGCUGUCCCACGCGCGCAGGGCGGAGCCGCCGUCGGUGCAGGACGGCCUGAUGAGGCUGGGCGGCUGUGGCGCGCCCUUCGGCCUGCCGCCGAGGGACCCGCUGGGGCCGAUGAGCAACUACCCGUACUCGCUCGGCGGCGGCCACGCGUCGCUGCCGAGCCUGCCGAUGCCGUCGGGGCUCGGCGCCGUGGAGGGGCUGAAGCUCCCCAUGCUGUCCCCGUCGCUGCACUCGGUGUUCAGGCAGAGGCAGGCCAUGGAGACGGCGGCGGGAUUCAGGGUGCCCAAGGGCGAGGUGAAGGACGAAGCCGCCGGGGCUGGGGCUGGCGCUGGGGGCGGCGCGGCGGCGGCGGCGGCGUAUCCGCAGACGAUGAUGAGCAGGCUGCCGCUGGGGCACCGGAUGUAG